AUUUCGCAUUUUCUAGGGCUUCAGUUCCCCUCCCCUCCCUCGUAGAAGUAGUAUUAGCAGACGACGACGACGAAGAAGAGUUGAUUUGUGGAACUAAAGAUGAUGAUCUCUACAAACACAAGGUCACGAUGAUGUCGAUCAUGCUUGGGUUUAUGCUUGAUUAGAGCAUUUUAGACCCAAUUUUGGUGAUCCAUAUUUUCCAAAACAUAUUAUGGAUGUUCUAGGACAACUUGGACCUCUGUGUGUUGGUGUUGGAAGCGUAUAAUCUAGGUGGAAAUGAUACCAUAGUGGUUGGAGUCCAUACAACAUUAUUUUGGCUCUUGCGCUAUGCCGUUGCUGGAAGAAACUCGCAUGGAGAUAUUUUCACAAAUGGAGUUUAUGUUAGGUGUACUUCACGCUGAAGUAACAUCAGUGGAGGAGUCUAAGCUGCAAGAGGGGUCAUUCUUCUAUUGCAUCAGGGUCGACUCCAGGAGAAGCCGGUAUGGUAUGUAUGGAAAAGAACCAUACAGCCUGAAACCGUCGGAUCUGUUUAUUUUGGGUGAUACUGUACCUGAAGUGUCUUGCAGUGUUUUGGAAGCAGUUGGUCUUUGGCUUCAGUUGUAGAAGAUGUGAAACAGUCCUACUCUGUGGGGCAUGGAGACGAAGUUAUGUGCUUUCGAAUGGAAGGGAGGAGCCAGAUGAAGCCGGGCAUGGUUUUAAAAAUAUGGUUGAAGUGGCAUUUGUAGUGGCAAUAGUCUGAAAAGCUUGAGAAAGCUCAAAGAACAGCUUAACCAUUGGUAUCGCAUCUCCUUACGCUUCCCGAAUUACUGCAAUAGAGAAUAAAGUUGGUCGAAAUAUGAGAAGCUAAAGGACUGUUUCAAAAGGAACAGCAACGCUGUUUUUCUUGUGAAGGAUUUGUGGAACCCAUGGAUAUAUUUCUUUGAGUGCUCCAACCGGAAAUAUGUGCAGAGUGGUUGGGGAUGAGACAAAGGGUACUGUCUUACGGCAAUUGUUCAUAACAGUCAGCUCAAAACUAUGCUUUGCUGUUAAAAACCAAAUAUCGAGCUUGAAAAGCAUUAUUAGCAGCGGCAGGGCCUGAACAGAGCACAGUUCCAUUGAGUUUCCUGACGCCGAUGAUGCAGUUCAAUUUUGUGAUAUACCAGAUUCUCUCAAGGACAUUCCACCUGAAAAUUAUCCACUUGUCAUAAUGUUUCAGAAGUUCCUAGUGAUGCUUGAUGCAAGAGUAUGCGAAAUUCAUAUUUUGAUAGAUUUGGUGAUAUAAGGGAACUUUCACAAUCUUUCAACCACAAGGUCAUUUGCUUUGCAUGCUCUUAGAAGAACGAAAGAGGUCAACUAUGAAAGAUUCAACUCAUGUUACUGGCCUCAUUUUAAUUGCAAAUUGACCAAGAAGCUUGAUUCAUGUAUGGUUUUUAUUGAGAUAAUCUCACACGUAAAAGAUGGGUUAUUAGCUGGAACGCUACCUGAUGAUAGACUUAGACGGGAGGACUACAUAUCAUUAUCUGAGGGACGGGUGUCAUCCAUUAGUAGGGAAAGAAGGGAGGUGAUUUAUGAUGUUUUCCUCAAAUACGAAAAGAAGAAAAUGCAUAAUGAUAAGUUUGAUUUGGUUGAUUUUUUCAUUGACCUUCACCUUCGAUUGAAAACUGGGUGUUACUAGAGUGAGGAAAUGGAGUUCGUGUAUAUUGAUGAAGUACAUGAUCUCCCCAUGAGACAAAUUGGCCUUCUUUAAAUAUAUUUGUAGAAGUUUUAUGGAAGGAUUUUCCACUUCUGGUGAUACUGCGCAAACUAUUGCUGGUGGGGUUGAUUUCAGAUUUCAAGAUGCAAGAUCUUCGUCCUACAAUGAGUUUAUACUUUAUUUUGGGUUCAAGAAGGGAUGGCAUGGGAUUUUCAGGAUGUUUUGCUUUACAACAUUUUUGGAACGUCACCUUUAAAGAGUCAAUGGUGCGAAAUUUCCACAUAGUCUGGAGGGAAUCAUUAAAUUCAGGGAAAACUCAUGAUGAUACUCAAGCAUUGUCAGGUCUUGCUCCAGCCGCUGCUGUUGAUGUUACAGUGAAGCCAGCUCCUGGGGCUCGUGGGGAAAAGUUCAGCUCUUCGGUUACAAUUACUUCACCUCAUGUUAACAAGGGUGAAUCAGCAAAAUUACUUGGGCCACCUAAAGCAGCUGGCCUGCAAUUUCCACAUGAAAUCACUACAGAUUACUCUGUUCAGCAGUCAAAAUCUGUGCUUGAACCAGUGAGUUCUGUUUCACCUUCAAUCAGUAUCAAGGAUACGUCUGCAACAUCCGCCUCUGUGUCAGCGCAGAAACUGCCAUCCAGUAACUAUUCUUCUUCUGUUGUACCUUAGGAUGAAUCUUCAUCUCUUGGAGCCAACACAGAAGGUAGAAGAGAAAACGUUAGAAGGUCGGACUCUUUCAAGGAUCAUUUGAAGAAGACAACUAAGAAAGAUUUACAGGAUUGUCAUUCACAACGCCAGGAAAAUGCUUCAGACUCUGUAGGUGCUUCUAAGUCCUUUUCGUCCGUUGUCUCUUGUGAAGUUGCCAAAUGCCCUGAAACUAGUCAGGAUUUACCUUCAGAGGUAGUUAAGUCAUCAACUAGUGGUUAUGAUGCUUCUGAGGUAUUAAAUGGUGCAACGAAUGGUGGGGCCAGUGAACCAUUCAGCACUUGUGACCUUGGACUCGCAAAAGAGAUUGAGCAAACACUGGAAAUUCUAGUGAAAGAAAAAUCUUCAGCGGACCCAAAGUCAUCUGACAUUUCAGAACACAAUGAACAUAAAGACGGAUCCAGAGGGAAAGAAGAGAACACCAGUGACUAGUUCUGCAGAAGCUGAACAGGUGAUGGGAAAAACUGCUGCUUGUAGCUCAGAAGAUAACAUGGUGACGGUUGACGAUGUUGCACUAGCUUCCAGUGAUGCCGUAAAUGUUUCUACUUCUGUUUCACUUCCUGUAUCUCGAGAUAUUGCUACAGAUUCACAUACAGUUGUAAAUGAAACCACUGGUGGGAUAGAAGUAUCCAUUUAUCUCACCCAGACCCUGCUCCUGUUAUGUCACCAGCUUCAUGAGAAGUUAAUUCUGAGUUUGAAAGCAAAAACACUUCAGGGGCUGUUUCUGAGUUCUGUUUCUGGUUCAAUUUCCACUUCAGGGGCUGUUUCUAAGGAUAAGCCCGAACUAACUAGGACUAAGAGCAACAUCACUGCGAAAGCAAAAAAAAGAGGAAACACAUUCUCAAGGCCGCGGAUGCUGCUGGAUCAAGUUCUGAUCUUUACAAUGCGUACCAGGGUCCAGAGGAAAAGCAUGAAGCAUCUGAAAUACUGGACAGUUCUCACAAUGCUAGUUCAAAUCUUGAACCUGGCAAAGUGGCGGAGAAGGAUUUUACAGCCAGUGAAAAAGAUGCAGAGAGUAAAUCUGAGCCAGAUGAUUGGGAAGAUGCUGCAGAGAUUUCUACUCCAAAAUUGAAGAUCUCUGAUGACGGGAAGCAGCUUGAUGGAGAUGGGAGUGGUGGUACUAGCAAAAAGUAUAGCAGAGAUUUUCUCCUGACAUUUUCAGAGCAAUGCAAUGUACUUCCCAUAAACGUUAAUAUUGGACCCGACAUAGCAGAUUCUUUGAUGAGUGUUCAAAUAGCUAUUUCUCAUCAUGUUGAUCGAGAACCAUAUCCAAAUUCUGAAAAAGUUGUUGAUAGACCGAGUGGGGGACCUCGGCCAGAUCGACGUGGCAGUGGUAUGUUGGAUGAGGGUAAUAAACCUUGGAACAGGCUACCCGGUAGGAAGGGAUCCGCUCAUGGACCCAAUCAGACACGCAGAAGGUUCUUCCAGAGGUUUUCGGCCUCAAGGAGGGGAAAUCAUGGCGUAUUAAAAAAUCCUCGGGGACAUCCACCUGGACACUAUACUGGUGGUAUUCUUUCUGGGCCAAUGCAACAGGGUGGGAUGCCAAGAAACAACUCCGAAAAUGUUGUAAAGCAAAACACCAAAUUCUCUGCUCUUUAAAGGUGACGUUCCAAAAAUCUUCUCGACUCCAAUGAUACGAAAUUUCCAGAAUGUAGCAGCGGAAAACACCAAAUUCUCUGCUCUGAACUGAAGUGAUUGUAUGUUGCUAUCACUCGUACUAGGCGGAAACUGUGGAUCUGUGAGAAUAUAGAUGAUCUUCGAAGCCUAUAUUUGAUUACUGGAAGAAGUUAUGUCUCGUUCAAGUGAGAGAACUUGAUGAACCAGUUGUACAAGCAAUGCAAGUUACGAGCAGCAAAGAAGAAUGGAGUUCACGCGGUAUCAAGUACUUAAUGAUGGUUAUUUUGAGAUGGCGCCAGUAUGCUUUAAAAGAGCUGGUGAUUCAUUCUUGGAGAAACUUGCUAAAGCUUCUGGUCUUAGAGCUGCUGGUAUUCACUGCUUGGUUCUAAUACUGAACUAGCUUGGGUUGCUCUUGUAGUGACAGCUGAGAUUGUGCUGCCAAAUGUCUCGUGGAGUUAAAGGAAAUUAGAAGAGCAGGUACGAUUGAUUAGGAACACUGUGGGGAACCUAGGCUUGAAGAAGCUGGCGACUGUUUCAGUCUUUCUGGAUGUUGGUCUACUGCAGCUGAUGUGUAUUCUAGGUGUAACUAUUGGUUAAUAAAAUCAAGCCUUUUCCACUCAUGUUCCCUGAAUUUGCAUCUUCUGCUCAAAACUAUUGGGGAAGUUGAAAAGCAUCGACAAACAUUCUGAUUUGGCUAAAACUGGUAAGGGUUAUUUCAUGUCGACUACUGGUCCUUUUCAACAAGGAAUAACCGCUCUUAACAGUUAUCAAGUUGCAAAAUCAAUAAUAGAGCCCAAGAUACCGGGCAAAAGCUUCCUGGAGAACUGCUCAAUUCCUUGGAACAUACCGAGCAGCGUUUUUUCGCGAUGUAUUGUCAGAGGGACCCGAAGAUAAGAUGGUUAUGAUCGAUCUGAGACUAACUGAAUAUCAUGAGCACAAAAGGAAGGUUAAGGUAUGUGAACAUGUGGAGUGUGGUUUUGCUGAUUUCAAUGUCGGUAAUCUAAGUGAAGAACUGUAUCAAGUUAUAAUACAAUGUUCGGGUCUGUCUCCAACCUAUAAAGUUUUCAUUAAGCAGUUGAAAGAGAACAUGAUAUCAGGAUUGGUCUCGGUUUCUUUGGUCAGCAAUUUUGAAAAAUCAUUGCUCUCAACCACGACUGGAAGAAAGACUUCGAUGUCAUGCGACCUUCCUGGUUUGUUUAUUUUCUUUGGCGUCUUCUUUUCUUGGUUUCAUCUUGGCAUGGUUCCUUUCUUACAUUAAAGUCUUCUGUCCGCGAAAUAAUUCCCCGGGGGACUCUAAGAUGCAACUCGAGCUCUUUAUCAGUAGCUGACUCAAAAGUUUUCUCUAGGAGGUCUUUCGAUUUUGUAGCAUCCAAGAUCGAAGAAAUUCUUUCAAGUAGGAUAGGGUGGGUUUGGGAACUAGAUUUUGACAGAGUGGCUUACCACCCUUUUCUGGUCUGGAAUCUGGUUCUCUUGGUUACUUUCAUUUGGUUGAAUUCUGGACGUCACCUUGAUUUGCUGUACAGUUUACUUGGUAGAUAUAUGAUAUAAUAACCGUACUGCCCCUUCGUUUUCUGGACGUCACUUGAACUUAUCAAAAGAGGUACAAGGCCUUUUGAUAAGUUGGUUGCUGAUAUGCUUGAAGAAAUUGGGGAUCCUUUGGUCUGUCUGAGGUCAGGAAAUAUUCAGAGAGAAUUUUUGAGACCCAAUGUCUUCGAGAUAGAUGUAGAUUUGAUUCACUCCAGAGAAGACACAAUGGAAAUACUAUACUCAGAAAACUCCCAAUGUGUCAGAAAUGAUGAAAUGGAGGAUGGAAGUUCAAGUGAUGGAAAUGUUUGACCAUACGAUUUAUACAGAAUGUCCAGCUGAAUCUGAUAUUGAGAUUCCUGAUAACGAUAAAAUGAAAUUGCUGGAAACUGAAACCGGAGAAUUAGUUUAUGGGCGUUCCAUGCAGUUGUUUACGAAUACAUCUCGUAUUUUCGAAAAGAUUUUUGAGGACAUCAGCUUUCAUGAUUGCAAACCAUGGAUGAAGCUGGAUAUUUGCAUUUAUUUCGUAGUAGUAUUCGUCUGCUUGUUAAAGAUGUGAAGUGGAUGAAGGAACUAAAGCUGCUCUCUUAUGCAUUAAGUGGCAGGAUAUGGAUGAGGAGGGAGAAUGAAAUUGCAGUUGUUACACAUAGUGGAUUCUUGUGCCAUGCCCUAAAAUCAUUUGGAAGUAGCUAUCAUCCAUUGAUGAAGGUUGAAGUCUGCAAGCAGAGUUUAAUCGUAACAGUCUUCCCAUAACUAAAACUAAAAGAAAAGGUUGAAGCUGGCAGAGAGCCCUGAUAUUCUUAACUUUGCCAAUCGUACGUGAACUUCGGUUAAUGGUGAUCGUUGAUAGAGGGUGAGUGAAUGUGCCUUGUCUUGAUUGCCAUUUAGUGUUAGAUGAUUGUUUUUCUGUAAUAACAGUUUCCACUGGGCAGUUCAAAAGAAUCUUCUUACAUGAGACACUAUUCUGAGUUUUUAUUUAUAUGUGAUCAAAUGCAGUCUGACAAACAAGUUAAGAAUUUCCUGUAAAUAAAGUAAUUUUCAAUUA